AUUGAACGCUGGCGGCAGGCCUAACACAUGCAAGUCGAACGGUAACAGGAAGAAGCUUGCUUCUUUGCUGACGAGUGGCGGACGGGUGAGUAAUGUCUGGGAAACUGCCUGAUGGAGGGGGAUAACUACUGGAAACGGUAGCUAAUACCGCAUAACGUCGCAAGACCAAAGAGGGGGACCUUCUGGCCUCUUGCCAUCGGAUGUGCCCAGAUGGGAUUAGCUAGUAGGUGGGGUAACGGCUCACCUAGGCGACGAUCCCUAGCUGGUCUGAGAGGAUGACCAGCCACACUGGAACUGAGACACGGUCCAGACUCCUACGGGAGGCAGCAGUGGGGAAUAUUGCACAAUGGGCGCAAGCCUGAUGCAGCCAUGCCGCGUGUAUGAAGAAGGCCUUCGGGUUGUAAAGUACUUUCAGCGGGGAGGAAGGGAGUAAAGUUAAUACCUUUACUCAUUGACGUUACCCGCAGAAGAAGCACCGGCUAACUCCGUG
rnacentral:rRNA from 1 species